AGGUACGACAAGAGGGCCCGGCAGCACCUCAACCCACCUCAACUUCGGGCCUAGUCAAGAAAAAAACUCUCUCAAUUAAUUCAAGAAACAUUCUUCAACGCAACAAAAAUGAUCUAAACCUGACAUUUGAGCAAAGUCGGAUCUGAAUAUCAUGUGCAGACUCUGGUUGAAAACUCAAAUCCUUUGGAGUUAAUCCGGGCGUUCGAUCCGGCAUACAUUGAGGGCCAAAUAGCUGCCUCGAGUAUAUCAGGCAAAAUAAAAAGGAGGACCUAUUUAUCUUGACGCCCGCGAUCGUAAAGAAAGGCCUUUCGAGGAUACUCACGGGGGAUAUCUGAUUCAUCAGCUUCAUUCAUCAACGUCGACCGCUUCUGUUUCUUUCAUUUCUUUGAAACUGUACACGGUUUCUCUAGUGCAUGAGCAACGUGCGGAAGCACUGGCGUUGUUAGAUGCAUCUCGGAAUGUCUGGCGAUAAUGAUCAACGUUGAAGUGGGGUGGGUGUUGACGGAGAGACGGCUCUACGAAGGAAGGAUGCGGGGAGAACGAAAAGAUAGAUAGAGAAACAGAGAAAAAGAAGGAGAGAGAAGGAGCAAAGGUGGUAAUUCGAGGCCCGGAGGUGAGUGAGUAAGGUAUGCUAGUACUAAAUGAGAUUGGUUCGCUCUGACCAUGCAGGACAACUUUUCGGUCCUACUCAGCCCGUCUAAGUCCUUUCCUCAUCCUCGAUGAGACCCACUCCACAGCAUCUCCCUACCAUCGCAG